rnacentral:rRNA from 1 species
GUCCACGCCCUAAACUAUGUCAACUAGUUGUCGGGGAAGAAAUUCCUUGGUAACGAAGCUAACGCGUGAAGUUGACCGCCUGGGGGAGUACGGCCGCAAGGUUAAAACUCAAAGGAAUUGACGGGGACCCGCACAAGCGGUGGAUUAUGUGGAUUAAUUCGAUGCAACGCGAAAACCUUACCUACCCUUGACAUGCUAGGAAGUCCGCAGAGAUGUGGACGUGCCCGAAAGGGACCUAGACACAGGUGCUGCAUGGCUGUCGU